UAGCAGCACAUCAUUACUGGUAUUUUUCACUGCAUUACCAGUAUGUUAUGUGCUGCUUCU
ensembl:miRNA